rnacentral:rRNA from 1 species
GAUGAAUGCUGGCGGCGUGCUUAACACAUGCAAGUCGAGCGGUAACAGGUCUAGUUUACUAGAUGCUGACGAGCGGCGGACGGCUGAGUAACGCGUGGGAACAUGCCCCAAAGUGAGGAAUAAGCUCCAGAAAUGGAGUCUAAUGCCGCAUAUGAUCUUCGGAUUAAAGGAUUUAUCCGCUUUGGGAGUGGCCUGCGUAUGAUUAGGUAGUUGGUGAGGUAAUGGCUCACCAAGCCGACGAUCAUUAGCUGGUCUGAGAGGAUGACCAGCCAGACUGGAACUGAGACACGGUCCAGACCCC